AUUGAACGCUGGCGGCAGGCCUAACACAUGCAAGUCGAACGGUAGCACAGAGAGCUUGCUCUCGGGUGACGAGUGGCGGACGGGUGAGUAACGUCUGGGAAACUGCCCGAUGGAGGGGGAUAACUACUGGAAACGGUAGCUAAUACCGCAUAACGUCGCAAGACCAAAGUGGGGGACCUUCGGGCCUCACACCAUCGGAUGUGCCCAGACGGGAUUAGCUAGUAGGUGGGGUAAUGGCUCACCUAGGCGACGGUCCCUAGCUGGUCUGAGAGGAUGAACAGCCACACUGGAACUGAGAAACGGGCCAGACACCUACGGGAGGCAGCAGUGGGGAAUAUUGCAUAAUGGGCGCAAGCCUGAUGCAGCCAUGCCGCGUGUAUGUAGAAGGCCUUCGGGUUGUAAAGUACUUUCAGCGGGGAGGAAGGCGGUGAAGUUAAUAGCUUCACCGAUUGACGUUACCCGCAGAAGAAGCACCGGCUAACUCCGUGCCAGCCGCCGCAGUAA
rnacentral:rRNA from 1 species